GCUAAAUUUGCAGUUUUUCCUUCGUAGAACUUGGAGUUUAAAUUGCUUGCAGGGAAAGAUCUUUUUCAUGAUACAUAUUUAGCUUUGUUUGAAAGGAGGCCCCUCCAUCAGGAAAUCUGUCCCCCUUGGAGGGAAGAAUUAAUCCUGAAAAAAAAAAAAAAAAAAAAAAAAAAAAAAAAAUCCUGGAAAAGAAGAAGGAAAAAAAAAAUCUCAAAACUCUGUCAAAAUAGAACACAAGGCUCUGGGGGCAGGGAUGUGAGGCAGGAGCUUAUUUGCUAUGGAAAGAUGCCUCUAUUUGACUCGAGAGGAAGUUAUCGCUCAGA
rnacentral:lncRNA from 12 species